CCUACGAGUGGCAGCAGUAGGGAAUCUUCCACAAUGGGCGCAAGCCUGAUGGAGCAACGCCGCGUGGGUGAAGAAGGUCUUCGGAUCGUAAAACCCUGUUGUUAGAGAAGAAAGUGCGUGAGAGUAACUGUUUACGUUUCGACGGUAUCUACCCAGAAAGCCCCGGCUUACUACGUGCCAGCCGCCGCGGUAAUACGUAGGUGGCAAGCGUUAUCCGGAUUUAUUGGGCGUAAAGGGAACGCAGGCGGUCUUUUAAGUCUGAUGUGAAAGCCUUCGGCUUAACCGGAGUAGUGCAUUGGAGACGGGGAAACUUGAGUGCAGAAGAGGAGAGUGGAACUCCAUGUGUAGCGGUGAAAUGCGUAGAUAUAUGGAAGAACACCAGUGGCGAAAGCGGCUCUCUGGUCUGUAACUGACGCUGAGGUGCGAAAGCGUGGGUAGCAAACAGGAUUAGAUACCCUUGUAGUC
rnacentral:rRNA from 1 species